UACGUAGGGGGCAAGCGUUGGCCGGAUUUAUUGGGCGUAAAGAGCUCGUAGGCGGUUUGGUAAGUCUGGUGUGAAAUCUCCACGCUCAACGUGGAGGGGCCACCCGAUACUGCCAUGACUGGAGUCCGGUAGAGGAGUGUGGAAUUCCCGGUGUAGCGGUGAAAUGCGCAGAUAUCGGGAGGAACACCCGUAGCGAAGGCGGCACUCUGGGCCGGUACUGACGCUGAGGAGCGAAAGCGUGGGGAGCAAACAGG
rnacentral:rRNA from 1 species